CACAGCUGAUCUGCACAUCUUUCCCAUUAGUGUGGUAUUCAUGUUAUGUAACUUAGUUUACUUAAACUUGGUUUGGGGGUGGCACAGUGCGUCAGUGGGUAGCACUGUUGCCUCACAUCAAUGUGGUCCCUGAUUCGAGCCCCAGCUGGGUCAGGUGGCAUUUCUGUGUGGACUUUGCAUGAUUUCCCUGGAUCCGUGUGGGUUUUACUCCAGGUACGACAGUUUCCCCCACAGGCCAAAAACAUGAAAGCUAGGUGAAUUGGAGAUACCAAAUUGCCCCACCUCCAAACUGUGUAUGGAUUAUCGUGUGGAUCAACUUGUGUAUAGAUUAGAUGCUUAGUCACACACAAACAUUUAGCCUAUGAAAAGCCAUAAUCAGUAUUAGGAAUUGCAGCCAGUUUUUGAAUCAUCAUGUUACACUCUAAAAAACGUUGGGUUGUUUUUUCAACCCAACUGCUGGGUUGAGCCAGUUGGGUUAUUUUGUUGGGUUGUUUUAUCAGUGUUGGGUAGUUUUUGUGUAACCCAACUUGUUGGGUUAUAUGUUGGGUAAUUUUGAAGCAGAGCCAACUUAAUAGAUACAUAUAGCUGUUUCUCAAUAUUACUUUCUCUAGUCCACAAAAUGUAUUUUAAACAUAAGUUCAGGCGAGAAUAUAUAUGUAUAAUGUUCAAAUUUGCAGUCGGUUUGUAAAGUGAACGCCAAUUUUAAAGUUUAAUUUCAAACAGUCGGAAUGUUACCGGCGCGACCACCGGGUGUCAGUGUUGUUCUUCCCCAGAGAGAACUUCUCCCUUCCCCCACACAGACACGUCAGACUCCUCCUGCCACAGCACGCUACCUGACGCGGGAAUUUAACAUCACCUCAGGAUUCAUAAACGGUUUUUCAUCGACUUCUCUUUGAUUUAUUUGAAGGAAAAGACCCUGAUGGAUAAAAGAUGGAUAUUUUCUCCUGGAGAAGCUAAAACAAUGUCACUUUGAGGUUCUGAUACCAGCUUUUACAAAGUUAUUUACAGAGUUCACAAGACUUCUCUGUGUUAUUCCCUGACCAUGCCGAAAAGCUAUUUGAAACUUGGGCACUGCAUUUUACAGACAGAAUCCUGCAACUUCCCAGCCAAGAACCAGGAGCAUCAACAAAUCACCUACAGAACCCCAUGAUGAUAUUCCAACUCAUGUCUACAAAAGUGGGAAGAAAAUCUUAAGUUUAUGUUGGGACCAACAUGGUUGCAUUCUUCUGAGAGGCUGAGGUGACAAAACCAUUCCCAUUUGUCCUUGGAUUGGAAGAUGACGAUCUCUGCCAUCAAGCCUUCGUUGUUUUUGACAGACAGUCACUCCAGCAAUACACCCUCCUUGGUGAUGUUGACAUGCUUUAAACUUUUUUUUAUGUUUUGGACAUUCAUUUUACUAAGCAGUGCACAUCAGUGUGGGUGUUUUUGAAGACUGUUGUUUACGAACUCCCAAGAACGGAAUCCCUUUCUAUAAGAAGUCUGUGUAGUUAUUUGUCAUGCUAGGGUGAUAACUCAUGUUGAUCAUAUAUUGACUGUUUGUGCAACUUAGUGUUGAUCUUAUGUGUUACAUUAACCAUUUCUUAUUACACGGUUCUCUAAAAUGCUAGAUUCUGAUUGGCCAGUCGUGACAUUCUACUACUGCUCAAAACUAAAAACUCCAAUGCUGCAAAUCAUUUUGACAGGUACAGUUUUAUAUUACACAAAAAUUAAAUAUCAAUGUCUAUUAAUAACAUAUCCGACAUUAAAUUUACAAAUGAUUAAACCAAUGUGUUUGUGACAUUUCUCCUGAAGAAACUGUUGGGGCUUUUUUCUGUGAUGACAUGCUGCCAAUACAUUAUCCCUUACUUGUACAACUUUUUACUUGAUCUAAUUGUAAUGUUAACCGGGUAUCUGUCAUUUUAGAUUGUGAGAUAUAAUACUAAUAUAUUUUUUUUAUUAGAAAGUUGAUUGUUUGUGU